GAAAUGCGAUAAGCAAUGCGAAUUGCAGAAUUCCGCGAGUCAUCAGAUUUUUGAACGCAGCCCGCGCCGGAGAGAUAUCUCUUCGGCAUGUUUGUUUCAGUGUGUUUGGUUGACUUCACAAACCUCAAUGCGAUUGAAGCGCACAUCUUUAUAGACGCUCGCUUCUCUCGUGAAAAAGGAAGGCGCGGACUCGUCCGCCAACGAUGUGGUCACUGUCCAACAGUGAAUUUCGUUGGAACACCGGAUUGGUCAUUAAAAAUUAUGCGUCUUUAAUUCACAACCAAUUCUUCAAUCUGCACCUGAAAUCAAGCAAGGACACCCGCUGAACUUAA
rnacentral:misc_RNA from 1 species